rnacentral:rRNA from 1 species
ACGGCUACCUUGUUACGACUUCACCCCAGUCACCGGGCCUGCCUUCGGCUGCCCCUCCCCUUACGGGUUCGGUCACAGACUUCGGGCAUUCCCGGCUCCCAUGGUGUGACGGGCGGUGUGUACAAGACCCGGGAACGUAUUCACCGCGGCAUUCUGAUCCGCGAUUACUAGCGAUUCCGGCUUCAUGUAGUCGGGUUGCAGACUACAAUCCGAACUGGGACGCCGUUUUUGGGGUUCGCUCCGCGUCGCCGCUUCGCCUCCCUCUGUCGGCGCCAUUGUAGCACGUGUGUAGCCCAGGCCAUAAGGGGCAUGAUGAUUUGACGUCAUCCCCGCCUUCCUCCGGGUUGUCCCCGGCAGUCCCCGCAGAGUCCCCAUCUAAAAUGCUGGCUACUGCGGGCAGGGGUUGCGCUCGUUGCGGGACUUAACCCAACAUCUCACGACACGAGCUGACGACAACCAUGCACCACCUGUCUCCCCUGCCCAAAAAGGGCUGGCCCCGUUACGGGCCAUCCAGGGGGAUGUCAAGGCCUGGUAAGGUUCUUCGCGUUGC